GGUAUUUGAGGACACCCGUUCAUUCGUUCAUAAGAUUCGCCGAGAAUAGGAGGGCAGAGCUCCACGUUUCUGAGAGUCUUAUCCGUCGAGUUGCCCAUGAAGGUCUUCGUUACACGCAGAAAAAUACUGAGUUAUCGCUCUGAACAAAAUUAGACACCUUGAAGCAGCUGAGGUAUUAUGAGUCUUUUCUGACGAAACAAAUUUGCAAAUUGGAGGAUAAAUAUCUGCGUUAACAGCGCCAAAAGGCAAACUUAAACUAUAAAUAAAUAAUUAGUGCGCAUUGCACAAAAUUUGGCGCGUAGGAGCACAGUGCCAAAAACAAACAAUCAACCCAAAGCGUAAAUUUGGAUGGCUUUAUGGUCGCUCGGCAGCAGAGCGGAACUGAGCUGUGGUAGAGUAGAGUAGUGGAGUAGUGCUCCAGUCAUGAAACAAUUCAAUACAAUCUUCAAGAACAAGCACACGAAGUUGUGGCUGACAAUUGUCAACAACACUACGACACGAGGUGGUGCAAGAAAAUAUAGAAAAUGUCAAAAUGCAAAGUAACGCUAAAUUAUAUAUGGUAAUAAAUAGAAGAAGACUAACCCCACUGGUUCACUGAUGUGCGUCACACAAUGAUGAUUAUGUGAGCAAAUAGCAUACGGCGAUGACACCUACGCCGGUACAAGGUGGCGCAAGCGGAGUACUGGUUCCAGACGGUAAAAUGCUUGUAAAGUGCAAUAAUUGCAAAAGAAAUCUACACUACGAUAUAAUGAAACUUCAGGGCGGUGAUAAAUUACUUUUGCUGUCCCAAAAAUAGUUGUGAUUAUUUUUAAAAACUUUGUCUAACUGUUUGUCUAUUUGAACU